rnacentral:lncRNA from 1 species
AGGGAGAGAGAGAGAGAGGGAGAGAGAGAGAGAGAGAGAGAGAGAGAGACAGAGGCAGAGACACAGACACAGACACAGACACAGACAGAAAGCCUGAGAGAAGGUGGACGGACCCAGCAGCCGCAGCCCAGCUCCUCCCGGACCGGGCACCCUGCCGACGGCCCUGACUUCCCGGGCCACCCCAGGCAAGUCGCCGCUUCCUUCCUCGGGUGGUUUCGGGACAGAGGGAGGGGAGUGAGGCCACGACACUUGGCAGGGAGACCUUUCCCAAUCCUGCCCCCCCGGGCCACCUCCUCCCCUGGCGUCAUUUGGGCAUCCCGGCAUUUGGGAGGAGUGAAAGGCGCCUGGUCCUCAUUCUGUCCGAGAUUUUUUCUCCCUCCUCCCUUCCGUUCCCCUUUCCCCCUGUAGAAACCUGUGUGGGAAUUUCCACUGCUCCCCUCCCCAGAUAACGCGCGUGUCUCACAGAGGUGACCCACGCAGGCACCGAUCUCAGGUCCCAGGACCAGCUGCAGCCGCAGGGCGCCGGGCUGGGGACGUGCAAGCAUUCCAACGUUCUUCUCUUUCACCUGCUUUGUUUGUUAUUUGAUCACCUAAUGAAAAGAUCGAUGGCAGCUUGUUUAUCUGGGUGAUAGUGUCAACAGAUUACAGGGGCAGUAAUCAGAUGUUUCCCAGCCAGGCUGGGCACAAUUGUAAUACAGAGGGAGCCUAAACAUGCUCAGACUGCGCUGGUCUGGGCAGCGGGGGUAGUGCGAUGGGGAGAAAUUUUUUCCCUUCGUCUGGCUGGAAACGCUUGGUGGUUUUCAUUCCCUCUGUGCUGAGGGAAAGCAAUUUCUAAACGUGGUUUGUAGAAAUAACCGAUGGGUGAAGGGCCGGUGAAAUUUGCAGGAGUCCCGAGUUAAAACCUAUCUCCGACGUCCUGUGGCUGUGCAAAAGAAAAAGUUCCUCUGGAGAUUAGUGGUGACAACUUUUACAGGCUGUUUCUGUCAGGGAGGGAGGCGGGUUGAGGGGUUAUAGUAUAAUAUAAAACCCAGUUGAUCGUAUUAUUAUUUUGAGCUCGGAUACAUAGCCUGUGUUUUCCUAAACAAAUAAGUACCUUCUUCAGCUGCCAAGCUCCACAAGGAACUAUAUAUAUAUAUAUAUAUAUAUAUAUAUAUAUAUAUAUAUAUACACACACACACACAGACACACACAUUUAAAAAGGUACUCACACACACGGGGACAUACAUACCUAUAUACACAUAUAAAUGCACACACCUAUGGAGUGGCGUGGAUGGAAGACAGUAUGUGCACACUUACACAGGGUGCAGUGAACAGCUUUGACCUACAAAAAAGAAUUCAUUCUUGCAUUCAAUUUUUUGUGCAUUUGGUUGUCCUCAGUUCUGACCUGUGGACACCUACAAACUGUAAAACCAGAGUGUUGUACUGGGGUUUCCCCCAGCACCACCGUCCUCUCUCGGUUGGGGUUCUUCGGGUGGCCUCUCUCCUGGGCCGGGCCUAUUGCAAAGCGGAUGUGAAUGGUCACACCCGGACUCCCCAGUCGUCACUGUGCAUCCCAGCCCCGCUGCUCCCCAGGCACCCCCCGAGCCAGGCUGGGGGUGGUAGUGCUGUUCCAGGCCUCCACAACUGGUGAUGCCUAGCCAGGCCUCAUUUCCCAUCAGCAAUGCCGGGGCUUUUCCUCACAGCAUUUGCCUCUCCAUUUGUGUUUUUUCUCUCUUUCUUUUUUCCUUCCUUUUUCCUGCCUUCACCCAAGCCAGACCUGAAGGAUAACUAAGUUUUUGAGGAACGCAACAUAUGGUGUGUGCGCGGGAGGUGGUGCUUCUGGAGGAGCCGUGCGGUCACCCCCUGUCCUGGGCAGGUGGUCUCCGGUGAGUGGCAUCACCGCGGGGAGACGUGAAUAAGUGGGGCUAGCUCCUCCCGGGCGGUCUAUGCUGCUCGUUCGCUGCCUCCUGCAGCACCCACCCGCAGCUGUCCUGAAGGACGCACUCUGGGACGCUUUGUGCCAGCCCUGCUCGCUUUCUAAAGGAAGCCCGACGCCGAGGGUUUGCCCAUCCCACCCUAGACGUUCCGGGUGGGUGUCUCCUAGCUCCUGGUAUCCCUGUCACAGUCACCCUAGCCCGUCGCCCAGGACGUUUCAGUACGUCCCACCGAAGGCGACUGGGCUUGGGAAACAAGGCCCUCCACCUUUCCCUGCUCAGUUCCCCCUCCGCCCGUCGGCCGCACAUGCCCCGAGCCACGCCAUCAUGCAUAACCUUCUUUAUUUACUUAUUAAAAAACCCCCAACAGAACCGCCACUCUUUGGAGCGUACUCUUUUCCCCCAGCUCUUCUGUGAAACAUCAUCUUGGGGUCACAGCUGACAUCACCACGGUAUCCAGAGCUGCUGCUCAUCGUAGUGGGUCUGGCAGCCCAUGGGGUGUUGUGUGUCCCACCCCGCCGAGGUGUGCCCACUUUUCCUCGCCUUCUGCGUGUGUUUAACCCAGAGGCGCGACCGCCCUUCCCUUUCGCACACACCGCCUGCUUCCCUGGAAUUAUUUCAGACGGGAUUGGCAAAAAAGCAGUGUGAGAGCGGCCCUCGCAACUCCCCCCGCCACGCCCUCGAGAAGGCAAUCUGCCGUUCCCGCAGCUUCCCCGGCAGCGGGUCCGCGCCGAGCCGGGGUUUGUCAUUUGUUAGCGCUCAAAAGUACCGGGCUCCAGUGACAACCAGAAAGCAGGCACUCGUUAUCCCUACAAAAACGCCUGAGCACCCGUCAGUCAGCCUUUUUUCCCAAAUGAAAAAAAGAAAAAAAAAACAAAAAAA